CCAGCCCUGAUGCUUCUUGAUUUCUUUCUUCUUGUGGGAGCAGCAUCCUGCCUUUUUCAGAUUCAAGACGGGUGUUCCUUCCACUGCUGGAUAAACCUUCAAGCUUUCCAUUCUUGCUUUCACUUUUGAUAUCUUUUUCUCGAAAGAGUUGCUCAUCAUUUGCAUUGGGAUGUUGCUGAGGAUUUAGGGGUCUACAUUGUAUCAUUUGACAGACCAGGGUAUGGGGAGAGUGAUCCUCAUCCAAGCCAAACUGUGAAGAGCCUGGCACUAGAUAUAGAAGAACUUGCUGAUAAAUUGGGACUAGGAUCCACAUUCUACAUAAUAGGUUUCUCUCUUGGGGGUCAGGUUGUUUGGAGGUGCCUUAAGUACAUCCCUCACAGAAUCUGUUGGUCCAGGCGGUCAAAACAAACUUUGAAUGAAUAUUAAUGUUAACUUCACGAGUGUAAAAUGCUGAGGUUUGGGAAAUUGGUGGGGUGAUUAUGCUUGUCUAUGACAUCAAGAUGAG